GCCUGGGUGGCUCAGUCGGUUGAGCGUCCGACUUUGGCUCAGGUCAAGAUCUCACGGUUCGUGGGUUCGAGCCCCGUGUCAGGCU
rfam:Felis catus isolate Cinnamon breed Abyssinian chromosome B4, whole genome shotgun sequence.